UUUCUGGUUUAUUAAUGCCCACUUACUCAAAAGUGUUGUAAAUCAAUCUUGUUCUGAUUUCAAUCAUGGCUUUUCGUUAAAUCGUCUCGUCAAGCUAUCUGUGUGUUUUUUUUUUGUGGUUUCUUUUGAAUUCUGUUAAUGCCUAUUAGCUUCAGAUUGUUUUGAACGGUUGAAAAUGUUGUCUGUGACAAUGGGUUUUCGUUAAUUUG
rnacentral:misc_RNA from 1 species